rnacentral:rRNA from 1 species
AUACGUAGGGCGCGAGCGUUGUCCGGAAUUACUGGGCGUAAAGAGCUCGUAGGUGGUUUGUCGCGUCGUCUGUGAAAUUCCGGGGCUUAACUCCGGGCGUGCAGGCGAUACGGGCAUAACUUGAGUACUGUAGGGGAGACUGGAAUUCCUGGUGUAGCGGUGAAAUGCGCAGAUAUCAGGAGGAACACCGGUGGCGAAGGCGGGUCUCUGGGCAGUAACUGACGCUGAGGAGCGAAAGCAUGGGUAGCGAACAGGAUUAGAUACCCUGGUAGUCCAUGCCGUAAACGGUGGGCGCUAGGUGUAGGGGUCUUCCACGACUUCUGUGCCGUAGCUAACGCAUUAAGCGCCCCGCCUGGGGAGUACGGCCGCAAGGCUUAAACUCAAAGGAAUUGACGGGG